UUAAAGAAAGGGAGUGAGGGAGAGAGAGAGAGAGAAAGAGAGAGAAAGAGCGAGAGAGAGAGAGAAAGAGCGAAAGAAAGGGAGAGAGAGGUGAGAGAAGUGAGAGAGAAAGAAAAAAGAAGUUUACGUGAAAUACUUGGAUGUGCUGCGCCAGCUCGAGAGAAGUUGUAUUAGACGUUGAGAGCGAAUGGAUUUGAAAGCAUGGAUUUUUUCGCAUCAACUCCUACAUGCAAAUGGAUAAUCUUCUGUAACACGCAAAA